CUUGACUCGCUCGGUUGAUUGUUGUGGAGAGCGUUUGUAACCGUGGCUGGCAGACACCGGGGAUUCAAUGGAGAGACAUAUAGGCGCAACAGAGCAGAUGGCAUAGGUCAGAAUCUGGCCCUUGCGUAUCACCUGUGGCACAAGAGGAUGGGCAGCCUUAGGGGUUGGUUGUUAUCUUUGGUUAUCUAGCUGUAUGAGUGAUGUACAUUCUUCAUAAAGCUAGAUAACCGAAAGUAACAAGAAUCCCAUUACGCUCCUGAAAGGCAUCAAGAUCCCCAACGCAUAUCCCCCAUAAUGCACCACCCCAUUCUACCAUUCACAGCAAAACAAGCAAAAAAAUGGCCGUCAUCAUAGGACAAUGGGAGCAGAAGAAAAAGUAAAACUACCAACACCACCGUGACAGAAUGCUGGCAAAAUGAGACUGAAAAACAGGGAGAGGAUGAGAGGUUGCUGUUGACUCUGACUCCCUCUUCUCGCCCUCCUCCGUAUCGCCUCUCCCCUUCUCCCCUCCCUCGCUUCAUCCUCAGCUGCCUUCCCCAUUCUCCUGUACCGCGAGACGUAGCCCACGCCACCAUCUUAGGAUGACGCUCGCUGGCAUGAAAUGGAAGUGAGGACCAGACAGAGCAGGCAAAUAAUGGUCCAGAACACUGAUAGAAGGCAGAAAGAACAGCGAGCAGUAAUCCAUUGGGAGAAGAAAAGUUGCCCACAAACUACCAACCCAUCCCUAGUAUUUGCAAUGGAACAGGCCCAUUACAAGAAUGUUUGUCCACUAUACUCCGACUUGUGCCCCAACAUUUGAGUAGCAGAGCACUUUAGCUGCCUCUGACGUGUGGUUGGACCUCCGGCCUGGGUUUUGUUAUCCAGCAAGGGCCAAUCUGGAUUGGUUUUGUUUCCUUUCCUAAGCCAAUAAGAAAGUGGGUUGGUGGCAUGGAAAACAAGAGCAAAUAUCUCAGGAUCCAAGAUGAACAGAGAAGCGGUGAUUCUUGGAAACACUGUGCUAUGAAUGAGAUACAUUACAUGUGCUGUGUACCUACAGUAUUUGCUUGCAGCCUCAAUAACAUCUACACAAAACAUUAAGAACACAUGCUCUUUCCAUGACAGACUGACCAGGUGAAUCCAGGUGAAAGCUAUGAUCCCUU